GCGGAAGAGUUCAGUGGUAGAACAUCACCUUGCCAAGGUGGGGGUCGCGGGUUCGAACCCCGUCUUCCGC
rnacentral:tRNA from 1 species